GAUGAACGCUGGCGGCGUGCCUAAUACAUGCCAGUCGAGCGAACAGACGAGGAGCUUGCUCCUCUGACGUUAGCGGCGGACGGGUGAGUAACACGUGGAUAACCUACCUAUAAGACUGGGAUAACUUCGGGAAACCGGAGCUAAUACCGGAUAAUAUAUUGAACCGCAUGGUUCAAUAGUGAAAGACGGUUUUGCUGUCACUUAUAGAUGGAUCCGCGCCGCAUUAGCUAGUUGGUACGGUAACGGCUUACCAAGGCAACGAUGCGUAGCCGACCUGAGAGGGUGGUCGGCCACACUGGAACGGGGCCACCGUCCAGACUCCUACGGGAGGCAGCAGUAGGGAAUCUUCCGCAAUGGGCGAAAGCCUGACGGAGCAACGCCGCGUGAGUGAUGGAGGUCUUCGGAUCGUAAAACUCUGUUAUUAGGGAAGAACAAAUGUGUAAGUAACUAUGCACGUCUUGACGGUACCUAAUCAGAAAGCCACGGCUAACUACGUG
rnacentral:rRNA from 1 species